UCGUAGUUCCCACCGCGCCGCACCCGCAAGCCAGCAUGGCCCCAUCUACACGCGCCACUCUUUCCCUUCCCGCCGCACCGCCAAUGGCUUCGCGCCUCCGCCUCGUCGACCCGACCCCAAGCACAGACGCGGAUUCCGCUCAGAACCCAGGCAUCUCCGGCAAGGCAGCGGGUGAAGGGGAGCGAGUGGGAGAGGCGAAGACGCCGCAGCCGCGGCAGCCGGAUGUGACGGACCUUGGCGGCGGCAGCGAGGUGGUCUACAUCCCUCGGUUCGUGGCUCGGGAGAAGGCGUGGGAGUGGUUCGACUACCUCGACAACGCCAUCCCCUGGACACGCCCCGAAAUCCGCGUCUUUGGCCGCUCUGCCAUCCAGUUCGGGUACCCGUUUUCAUCCCUACACCAACAAGGUGGACAAGAAGGCGACUUCACCGUACUUGAUCAAGAAGAAAAAUGUAAAGGUGAUAGCCAUCAAGGCCAACAAGCAAGCCAACAACAAAGGAAAAGGGGCCAAACGGAUUUGGGUGCCUAAGGAUAUCAUCUCUAACAUGAAGAGCACCAAAAAGGUUUGGGUUCCAAGAGGGAAGUGAGAAGUCCGAAGGACUUUGUGAAAUUUGGAGACUUAGCAAAAAUGGGAUGCAUAUCAUGAGAUACAUCAUAUCGAAUCAAGUUUAUUACCAAGUGUGUUAGUGAACACUAUGAAACCAAGUUCUCCACCCAUGACUAAGAAUGUCAGCAGCCACGACGCGGCCAGGCUAACAUCGCACAGGCGGAGGCAAAGGAGGAAACUUUGCUUCUAGCACACUCAAUCUCCAGCGGCACCGGCCGCAGUGGCACUCCACCUUGAUGAGUCGAAGGCACGCGCUUUCCUCGGCGAUGGCUCCAGCAACGACAUGAUCGAAGGAUGGUGCCUCGACACCGGCGCCACUCAUCACAUGACCGGCCGACGAGAGUUCUUCAUCGAGCUCGACUCUAGCGUCCGAGGCUCCGUCAAGUUUGGGGAUGCCUCCGGCGUAGAGAUCAAGGGCGCCGGCUCAGUCGUAUUCACCGUCGCGUCUGGUGAGCACAGGCUGCUCACCGGAGUCUACUACAUCCCUGCGUUGAGGAACUCUAUCAUCAGCUUGAGACAGCUGGAUGAGAACGGUUCGCGCGUGGAGGUCGAGCACGGAGUCAUGAGGAUCUGGGACCCCUCUCGUCGCCUUCUUGCCAAGGUACACAGGAGUUUAAAUCGGCUUUACAUCCUUAACGUGAAGGUGGCACAACCUUGCUGCCUUGCUGCUCGUCAGGACGACGGGGCAUGGCAGUGGCACGAGCGCUUCAGGCAUCUUAACUUCAAGGCCCUGAAGCGGCUCAGUGCCAAGGAGAUGGUACGAGGCUUGCCGUGCCUUGACCAUGUGGAGCAAUUCUGCGAUGUCUGCGUGUUGACAAAGCAGAGACGGCUCCCCUUUCCCUAGCAGUCGAGCUUCCGAGCCAAGGAGAGGCUCGAGCUCGUGCAUGGGGACUUGUGUGGCCCGGUGACACCAGCCACACUAGGAGGACGACACUACUUGCUGCUCGUCGAUGACCUCUCCCGCUACAUGUGGGUGAUGGUCCUUGGCAGCAAGGGAGAGGCUGCGAACGCCAUCAAGCGUGUACAGGUCGCUGCGGAGGCGGAGUGCGGCCGCAAGCUGCACGUGCUGCGCACCGACAAUGGCGGUGAAUUCACGACGGCUGAGUUCGCUUCGUACUGUGCGGAUGAGGGCGUUCAACGCCACUACUCCGCGCCAUACAGCUCGCAGCAGAACGGCGUCGUCGAGCAUCGCAACCAAACGGUUGUGGGGAUGGCUCGGGCUCUCGUCAAGCAGAGGGGAACGUCGGCUGUCUUCUGGGGAGAGGCGGUGGUGACAGCGGUCUACAUCCUCAACCGCUCACCCACCAAGACACUCAACGGGAUAACACUGUAUGAGGCUUGGCAUGGGCGCAAGUCGGCGGUCUCUCACCUACGGGUCUUCGGCUGCCUCGUGUUCACCAAGGAGCUUGGCCACAUUGGCAAGCUCGACGACAGGAGCACCCCAGGGGUGUUCAUUGGCUACGCGGAGGGCUCGAAGGCGCGCGACGUAGUGUUCGACGAAGGGUGAGGAUGGGCCUGGGACAAGGCGAUGGACGACGACACGACUCCGACGUACGACGACUUCACCAUCGAGUACGUCCACUUUGAGGGAGCCGGGGGAAUCGGCAACUCUUCUUCGAGCAGGUCUACCCCAGUCCCCAAGUCUCCAACUCUAGCGCCACGCUCUCCAGCUCCGGCUACAACGAGCUCUUCGCCACCAUGCAAUCCAGCCACGACUCCGGCUACAGCAAGCUCUUCGUCACCACGUACUCCAGCACCGACGAUACCCUCUCCGGGAACGUCAUCGCCGACACCAGCCCAUGUCAUGCACGACCCGGUGGAGCUCGUGACCCCGCUUUCCCACGACGAGGAGUGCGUCGACGCGUGCUACGACGGCAAGCCGUUGUGGUAUCUUACGGUGGAGGGCCUUCUCAUCGACCCGUCGGUGCCGGACUUGGCCUCUCGCAUUCUGGCGGGAGAGUUGCAUCUUGCAUGCAACGAUGGUGAGCCUCGGUCUUUCACAGAGGCCGAGAAACACGCGGCUUGGCGUGCCGCGAUGCAGUCGGAGAUGGACGCGUUGAGACGAACCGCACCUGGGAGCUCGCUGAUCUCCCUCAUGGUCAUCGCACGAUCACCCUUAAGUGGGUGUUCAAACUGAAGAGGGAUGAAGCCGGCGCCAUCGUCAAGUACAAGGCUCGCUUGGUGGCACACGGUUUUUUACAGCAGGAGGGGAUCGACUUCGACGAUGCUUUCACCCCCGUGGCAUGGAUGGAAUCCGUGCGACUCCUCCUUGCGUUGUUAGCCUAGGAGGGCUGGCACGUUCAUUACAUGGACGUCAAGUCGGCGUUUCUUAACGGCGACUUAAAGGAGGAGGUCUAUGUACACCAGCUGUCAGGUUUUGCGAUCCCUGGCAAGGAGGGCAAGGUGUUGCGCCUGCGCAAGGCCCUUUAUGGCUUGCGACAGGCACCGAGGGCGUUGAAUGCCAAGCUGGAUUCCACGCUCAAGAGGAUGGGCUUCAUGCCAAGCCCGCACGAGGCGGCCAUCUAUCGGCGGGGCAAUGGAGACAAUGCCCUGCUGGUGGGUGUCUACGUCGACGAUUUGAUAAUCACCGACGCCAAGGAUGCAAAGGUGACGACGUUUAAGGAAGAGAUGAAGGCCACCUUCCAGAUGAGCGACCUGGGGCAUCUCUCCUACCUGGGGAUUGAGGUGCACCAGAGUGACACUGGGAUCACACUUCGCCAGUCGGCCUACGCCAAGCGCAUUGUUGAGUUGGCUAGGCUCACUAAUUGCAACCCAGCUCUCACUCCGAUGGAGGAGACGCUGAAGCUGAGCCGUGACAGCACGACGGAGGAGGUGGAUGCUACUCAGUACCGGCGUCUUGUGGGGAGCCUUCGCUACCUCGUCCACACACGACCGGAUCUGGCAUACUCUGUUGGCUACGUUAGUCGGUUCCUGCAGCGACCGAUGAUGGAGCACGAGCAAGCUGUGAAGAGGAUCGUCCGCUAUGUUGCGGGGACUCUCGACCACGGUCUCUACUAGCCGAGGUGCCCUGGGGAGGCACAUCUUGUCGGGUACAGCGACAACGACCACGCCGGUGACAUCGACACCAGCAAGAGCACAAGCCAGAUCCUCUUCUUCCUCGGCAAGUGCCCCAUCUGCGAGGUCAAGCAGCAGGUGGUGGCCAUGUCCAGCUGCGAGGCCGAGUACAUAGCGGUCUCCACCGCUUCAACUCAGGCGCUCUGGCUUGCUCGCCUGCUCGGUGAUCUUCUCGGGAGAGACGUUGGAGCAGUGGAACUCUGGGUGGACAGCCAGUCUGCCCUGGCGUUGGCCAAGAACCCCGUGUUUCAUGAACGGAGCAAGCACAUCCGGGUGAGGUACCACUUCAUCUGUGACUGUUUGGCAGAAGAGAGCAUCAAGGCGCGCUACAUCAACACCAAGAAUCAACUUGUGGACCUGCUCACCAAACCCCUUGGGAGGAUCAAGUUCCUUGAGCUUUGUUCCAGGUCCGGGAUGGCUAAACUUUUCCACAAGACGACACACAAAAAUUAGGGGGAGAAUGAUAGAAUAAGUCAUGUGGUUUUCGUGUGGAGGACAACAUCUCUGCUACAACAUGUGGAGGGCAACAUUUCUGCUAUAGGCAGGCAGCACAGCAGCAGCAGUCUUUUGACUGUUGUAGUGUGGCAGCAGCAGGCAGUACAGCAGCAGCGGCAGCUGCAGUGCAGUCAAAAUGCAGUCUUUUGACUGCACUUUAGCAUCUAGAGGAUAGCACCUAUGUGCUGUAGUGUGUAGUGUAGUAUGUAGUGUAUUCUAGUGCAGCCUAUAGGGCUAUAAAUAUGUGUCCCCGACCCUUCUAAGGUUAUGUCAUUGUGUAGUGUUUGAGAAAAUAAACAGAAAAUCGCCCCAACUCAUAGUGUCAUCCUUGAUGAGAGUAAGAGUUCCGUUGCUUACACUUACAACCGUACACAGUUUGAUGGAGUUUACAACUCACAAGCACAACAAGAGAGGGGAGAGUACACACACAAGAGCAAGCGCAACAACACAACGCAAGAGAGAAGAUCACAAGAGCGCAAUCACACGAAAUCACAAGAACAACCUAGAACGGCGCUCGGAUCUUACUAGAAUCACUAGAAUGCGUUGUGGCAGAGUACCGGAGUGAAGUAUUGCUCUUGGCAGUGCUUGGGGUGCUAAAGGAGUGCGCCAUGGGGCCCUUUUUAUAGCCAAAGGCAACCCCAUAGUUGUUGCUCCUUCCAUCUAAAAGAUGCCAAAAAUCUGCUGUCUGCGGGGGCACCUGAUCGAUCCGGGUCCAUGUGCACCAUCUCCGAGAUCUGACAGCCUCCUUCCUUCUGGGGAGCGCGCCGGACCGGGUCCAUGCACCACCAGACCGCCACGUGUCGCCUUCCCGUGAAGUAGUCGUUGGCGCCCGGAGCUAGCCGUUAUUGGACGGUCCGGUGCGCCACCAGACCGUGCAGAGUAUCAGUCCAAUGAUUUUAUAAAAUAACAUUUCGAGACCUCGAAGUUCAACCGUACAAGUGGUCUGGUGCACUAGGCCGCCAAAGCGCCCGAGUCUGGACUCUGGCAAAUCGGUCCGGUGAGUCCCAGACGGUGACCGACAACAAUGAAGUUCCGCCAACCCACAACGGCCACGGCAGUACCAGCAGAGGUGGUGAACCUGAUUAUUGUCUUGUACCUACGUUGUUUGGCGGGUGAUCGACCCAAGACUUGGUUAUAGUGGCUUCCUUUGGCUGAAUUUUUUUUAUAAUACCUCAUACCAAACUGUUGUCAAAUGUACUCCAUUCAGAAUUGUGUAUGGUCGUGAUCCUCCAACCAUGUUAUCCUAUAAGCCAGGGAUGGCCAAUGUGGCUGCAGUAGACCAGCAACUCCAGGAUCGGUACGUUUUCUUGGAAGACAUCAAACAAAGGUUACUCCAAGCUCAGGUAACAAUGAAGAGUACUCAAGGUAAAAGUCGCCGAGAGGUGCAAUACAAUGUUGAGGAUUGGGUUUGGCUACGUUUGCAACAACAGUCAGCAGUUGGUGUCACAACAGCAGCAUCCUGCAAACUAGGACCUAAGUUUUAUGGUCCUUAUCAAAUUCUGCAGCAUAUCGGGGAUGUCUUGUACAAGCUCCAGUUGCCGGCAAAUGCUAGGAUCCAUGAAGUGUUUCAUGUAGCACUUCUCAAGAAGUUUCAAGGGGAUCCUCCGGCAGCACCAGUGCCCUUACCGGCGGUCCUCCGUGGCAAGAUGCUCCCUGUUCUAUCAAAAGUGGUGAAGGCUCGCUUGAACAGAGGUGUCUGGGAGCUUCUGGUACAGUGGAUGGGGCGCGCGCCAUCUGAUGCUACCUGGGAACAAUGUACUUAAUUGAAGAGGCGUUAUCCAGAAGUCCAACUCGAGGGUGAGUUGUUUGUCGGAGAGGAUGGAAAUGUUAUAGAUGCUUUUGUGGGCCGCCACUUUUCUAGGCGUAGGAAAGGGAAGUAGAGCCGAUCAGUUCAUGAAUAAUAGAAGAUAAGUUUUCUUAGAGGAUUGGUUUCCUUUUUGUAUGAUUUCCUAAAUAAUAGCAGAGGAUUAGCUCUACAGUAGGAUGCGCCAGGGCGCCUUCCACUAUAAGGGCGGCUGGGCAUCGUUUGUAAUAGGCAUCCAAGAAAUAAAGAUAUUCCCUCAGAGCAGGAUCAUCCUGGCUAGGCACAGCGCGGGCUCAGGUGAUCUAGGAGAUCAACGUCCUCCUCACCCCUACGCCCUACACCAUUCACAGCUCCCUCUCCACUCCCCCUUGAGAGAUACCAGGAGACCCAGGUCAUGAGCUUACUAGAGGGAAGUUCGUAACAGGGUGGUAAUGGAUUAUGAUCCAAAUGUUUCUUCACAAUUUGUUUGAGGUCUUAAUUAAUUUUAGUUCAAAAAUGAAUAGAAAUAGAGUCUGAUCCUAAUCCAUUAUGAUUCUUAAAUUUUAUAGUGUAAAAUUUAGAGCUUAUUAUCACCCCUAGGUGUGGAUAGUGACGUACCUCAAACUUUGGUACAGUUAUAAUAGCAUUGGCACAGUUUCUUGAGUUUCUCAAUGGCACUUUUCAAAAAAUAGCUAGCUAUAAUAAUGUUGGUACAUGCGCCUUGCUAUGUUGGGGUUUCUUGAGUUUCUCAACGGCACACCUCAAAAAAUAGCUAGCUAUAAUAAUGUUGGUACAUGCGCCUUGCUAUGUUGGGGUUUUGGAAUUUUUGCUCCUAAUGAAGUCUAAGUUAUGUGAAACAGUUGCAGAUCAUGUAAACUGAUUGAUCGUCAUACCAUAGUUCAUCAAACUAAACGCUAGUGUUGAGCAGUAGUACAAAUUCUGUGGCUGAAAGAGGCUGAGGGUGGAACUCAUAUGUAGGGUCAUUGAGACAAAAAUCUCCAUUAAUACAGCUUACUGGUAAGACCCUUGCCAAUCAUACUAAGGGCAGUCCCAAUGCAUGGUUUCUACAGGUAUUUUCUAGACAAAGUAUAAUUUAGACCCGAUGCUCCCAAUGCAUGAUUUCUUGUAGUAAUUUCUAUGAAGCCAAAAAUUUAUUGAGUACUUGUAUGCUCCGCAAACAGAGAAAAAUCAGGUGUGGCAAAGAAACAUGUAGGAGACCAUGUCGCCACAUCUCACUGUCUCUUCUGUCUCCAAUUACGUUAAUAAACAAAGCAAAAACGUCAAGUUUUGCCAGAUGGACAUUGGUAGAGUGGUAAACGAGAUUUGUGAUUCUUCGAUUGCUGAGGAGAAUGUAUUUCCCAUCAGUUGGGGAAGCGAACUUUUAUCUAAUAAUAAUUGUGUAGUGUUGGUAGGAAGCCACUGAUCCAGGUACCUUUUCCUCUUGCUUUUUUCCUGCAGCCUAGAGAUGUGUGCUAUGUUGCAGAUGAAGGGUUGACAGAUUUGAGAUAUAGUGGCCAUCAGCCUCUUGCACAUUCUUGGGAUGAAUUCCCCGUGCUCAAGGACGUCUUGAAAGUGGUCCAUGAAGCCCUUCCCGGGAGCUAUUUCAACAGCUUGCUCCUGAACAGAUACAAGACAGGUUCAGACUACGUUUCAUGGCAUGCAGACGAUGAGCCCCUCUACGGGCCGACUCCAGAGAUAGCAUCUGUUACCUUUGGGUGUGAACGUGACUUCUUACUUCGGAAGAAGCCUACCAAAUCGCAAGGUGCGGUCGUAGUGUUUUGUUAUCGUAGCACAUCAUUUAGCCGGAAUUGAUUCGCUGUAAACAUCUGCCAGCCACUUCUGGAUCUGGAGAAGCUGGUCGAAAGCGGCUCAAGGUCGAUGCACCUCAAAAGCCACAUCAUUUUCUUCUGAAGCAUGGCUCGCUGCUUGUGAUGAGAGGCUACACCCAGCGGGACUGGCAGCACUCGGUUCCGAAGCGAGCCAAAGUGAGCUCACCAAGGAUCAAUCUGACUUUCAGGCAUGUACUGCGGUGACACACUCUCUUUAGCAUGCCAUUGAAAUCACAAUGAAGCUGUCACUGAAUUCGAAUCUAAGCCCAACAAUUUUGAGUGGAUUGACAAGCAAAAAAAUAGGUGAUAUGUUGUCUCCUUCCUUUCCAUAUCAUAAAGAAUGCAAUCGUAGUCAUUGUUCUCAAGCUGAUAGUUCUUCCUUCUUAGAAUGUUACGUGUGUGAAGCCUAUCCAUAAGGAGUAGCCAGAUAAAAACUCUCAACUUAUUGCAGCACUUGGAUUUCCAUAUCCAAACAAAGUGAUCUAGUGGUUGCAUGUUUCUGUAUGGAAGACGAUAAAUUUUCUUUGAGCUAAAAUUGUGUGCCCCCCACCCCCCAAAAUAUGUAAAUACAUUGAUCUCUUGAAUUGUUGAGGAUCUGUUCAGUUGCAAGCAUUGCGUUGAGAUCUUGGAAUUCCUGAUACGCUUGUGAAGACAGGGGUAAAUAGAAGUGCUACUCCAAAGACUGAUGAGAUGAACUUGGAGACAGAUGUUUUUGUUCUUGGCAUAAGAGAAGAAUAUGGGAUAGGUUUGCUGUAGCAACUUAUCAUUCUGCAACAAUACAUUUUGCAACUCCUCUGUAAAGAUCUUUUAGCCAAAA